CCUUGGCUCCUCUCCGUAAGUGGUAACCAUUUUAGGAACGGGAGCCAUUUUAGAAUGUAGGACCGUUGGUUCCAUUUUGUCUGGUAGAGAACUCUAUCAGUUGGAAACUCUGUGUAACAUGGAGCAGAACUCUUUGGAUCAUCACAGACAUGGCAUACAAGGCUUGCUGCCUGGACUGAGUGAGGAACGGGAGGUGCUCUUCAGAGACUGCCUUGAAAAGUCUUGGGGAAGAGACAGACUCCAUCCCAAUACAUUCAUCUCGGCUAUAUAUUUUUGAAGACAACUUGUUUUAAUUAUUUACAGUUCUGAAGAUCGAACUCGGGACCUUGUGCUUGCAAGGCAGGAAAUGGCAUUACUCAGCUAAAUCUCCGCCCCAAUGAUGCUUUUCUUAAAAUGAGAACAAAUCCAAAUCUCAAGGUCUUAUCUUGUACUGAGACCAGUUUUUACAUUUCAAUGACCUAAGGACCUGGAAUGUUAAUGAUCUUACUGAACUGCUCCUGAAGAAUCCCCAUCAAUGGACCUGACUUCAGUUGGAUUGAUAGAUUACUUCUCACCACUCAGAAAGUUCACAGUAAAUCCACUUCAGAGAGGAAGGCUGGGGAAAACCCACCGAUGGGCCUCGAAAGCUGAGCGAUUCCUGAUAUGACGCACCGAGCUGCAGCAGUGCCACAAGAGCAUAACUGAAUCGCAUCCUGAGGAAACACCAGUCAAACUGAACUUAGGGACAUUCAGCGACGGUCCCGAGCCCUUCAAAGAUCUCCGUGUCACAAAACGCAGAGUCCCGGGAUCUGUUCCUAAUUAAAAGAUACUAACAAAACAGAACAACUGGCAGGAUUUUCUCUUGCUACGAGGACAUUUUGGGACAAACAACUGGGAAAUCUGAGCAAAAUGUGUAGAGUAUUUUAUGGCUGUUAAUUUCCUGAUUUCAGUGAUUGGACUGGGACGAGGCAAGAGAUUUCUUCAUGUUAGGAGACACACGCAGAAGGAGUUAGUGUAAAGGUGCAUCUGAUCCUCAUUGGACAAAUGGCUCAGACAAAAAAAAAAAAAAAUCUGGGAAGUGCCAAAUAAGGACUUCCUGUGUUUCCUUAUUUAUCUGCCGCUCAGUGGGCUUUGUGCAAAGGAUGGGUGGGAGUGAGGAGCAGCCUCCACACAGCUGUUCAGGGAUGUCUGCAAAAGCAGCCCACCCACAUUGCUUUUGGACACUGGGUGUGAUUUGGAGGGUAUCAGGUUUGUCUGUGAGGGAAACUGCCAGCCUCCUCCCUGGCCAAUUGGUUUCUGUGUUUCCUUGCUGGCCCUCUGAAUAGAAAAGUCCUUUUCCUCAGGAUAUCCCCCAGAAGCAUCUUUUUCUUCACAGUGGAAUCUAAGACAUUAGUUUAACUACAGUUUUCUCUUUGAUGAAUUCUAGGACCUGCAAAAAUGUAGAGGUUAAAUCUGAUGAACCACAUGGCUAAGCUUGCGAUGUAUUUGCUUUUUCAUUGAAUUAAAACAAAAAAUUGGUUGCUUUCCAGUACGCUUAAUUUCCAGACCCAGCUUUCUUCCUAUUUGUCAGGCUGUAGGAAAUAUUAUACUUACCGAACACAAAGUUGGAAGAAUUAGUUGGAUCCCCCCACCCCCCGCCCACUCACACACCAAAGCCAAGCUUUGGUUUCCUCUUCUAUAAAGAAGAGAUUGGUAGAACUAAGGUUAUGGACAGAAAAGUACUACAUAACUAAAAAUUAUCAAGCUUUUCAGUUCCUUCAAUUUUGGAGACAUUUGUAUAUUGAUUCUACCAAGUUGUAUGCUAGAAGGUUCUCUCCUAAUUCUCCUAUUUAAAAAAAGUGGUACAGGUCAGGAUGACCUGCUGAGGGCAGAGCCUGAGGUUCAGCCACCUGACACAAAGGAAUUCGGCUUCUCUGACAAUGCAGUGCUCACACACACACAGCCUGGCAGAGCUCUAGGGAACACGCAAGAUCAAAUGAUUCAAGACUUGCAUGGCAACAUCUGUGGUUCCCCAUUGCCCAUCACCUACCACUUUUUUCUUGGCUAACAGAACCUCUAUUUUCAUUUGAAAGCUCUUUCUGCAGUCAAGGUGAAGGUAUCAGUCAAGGUGUUCGGGCUCUUCCUGACCCAACAUGGCAUCUCUCCUAUGGGAAUUUGAAUCUUAAACUCAGUGACUCAAGUAUAAACAAUCUGUGGGAACUGAGUUAUUCUCACUGGCACUGUGAACUAAAUCUGUGUUCAUUACUAUUAAUGAGGUCUCUACAACUAUCCUGGUUCUGGCCCUUUAUAAUACCUAAUUAUCAAUGUUUUCUUACACUCUGAAUUUUCAUGUUUCUUUUUACCUGUUUUCACAGUGUUGGUUUUAGCUAAGCAAAGUUAGUUUCUAUUGCUUACACAGAAAAAGUUCUAACUGAUACAUCUUUGCUCUUUAAAAAUAAAGAAUCUAAUUUUCAAAGAGAGUAGACUACUUGAUUAGGGUCUGAAAGUAAAUUAGGACCAGAACCCAGGCAAACACAGAUUAGCCAACUUCUUUCCACUAGGAACAUAACCUAUCUCCUUUAGAGUUAUAGUAUUCUUGCAAGGAAGGAUCUACUACAUUUCUAGAUAACUCAAAUGGACCAAGAGCAAGUUCAGGGCUGUAUUAUCACUGAGCUUUUAAAAAGCCUACUGGACUCUAGUUAUAGCCAUAAUUGAGUAUGUAAGACUAUAAUUUGUUCUUCAUUGUCCAAAAAAAGAACACUAGUCAUUAUAUGCAAAUUAUAC
rnacentral:lncRNA from 1 species